rnacentral:lncRNA from 1 species
AGCCUUGGCAUUGUUGUGACCAUCCCUAUUGUAGGCCACAAAAUUCUCUUAAAGGUUUUCAGGCCACGUACCCAUCAAGAAAACUUUUGAUUCAAUCUGAUGCAAUCAAGAGAGAUUAAAAUUUGAUAAGUAUAAAUAUGGAAGAUAAGAAAUCCAUAAAACAUUGAAAAAGUACCAAAUUAAUAAUAUCAAGCUCAAGCAGCACAGAAUGGUAGCACUUGAUGUCCCAUGCAAUCCUCGAUUACCACCAAGGAGAUCUUUUUCAACAGCACUUUCACCAAUAAGAUUCCACCCUUCUCAAUUGUAGCAAUUUUUCAGAGACC